rnacentral:rRNA from 1 species
UGAGGAAUAUUGCGCAAUGAGCGAAAGCUAGACGCAGCAACGCCGCGUGGACGAUGAAGGCCUUCGGGUCGUAAAGUCCUUUUUAGAGGGACGAGUGAGGACGGUACCUCUAGAAUAAGUCACGGCUAACUACGUGCCAGCAGCCGCGGUAAAACGUAGGUGGCAAGCGUUAUCCGGAUUCACUGGGCGUAAAGCGCCUGCAGGCGGUCUCGUAAGUGGGAUGUGAAAUCUCCUGGCUUAACUGGGAGGGGCCAUUCCAUACUGCGAGGCUUGAGGGCAGAAGAGGGAAGCGGAAUUCCCGGUGUAGUGGUGAAAUGCGUAGAUAUCGGGAGGAACACCAGUGGCGAAGGCGGCUUCCUGGCCUGCUCCUGACGCUAAGAGGCGAAAGCUAGGGGAGCGAACGGGAUUAGAAACCCCGGUAGUCCUAGCCGUAAACGAUGGAUACUAGGUGUCGGUGGUCCUAACCCCAUCGGUGCCGAAGCUAACGCGUUAAGUAUCCCGCCUGGGGACUACGGCCGCAAGGUUA